UUCGGCAAAGGAAAUCUGCUGCAGGCGGGGAGCGAGCGACGAGAAGCCGGGCGGAGAGGUGGCUGCCCAGCCCAGCUCAGCUCCCUCCCGCAGACACCCUGGGCGGGCCAAAGUGCAGCCGGGAUUCUUUUCUCCUGCCAACUAGUGGAGGAGAUGCUUAGGAGGUAUGCUGCACACUAGACAGCACCCCGUCGGAAUCCAACUGCACUGGUGAGCCUUCUUGGUCACCCGAAACAGUCCGCGGACCGCGCGUCCCUCACACACCGGCUCGCGCUCCGCCGGAGUUUCAUUGGAACAGUCCCCGCUAUCAGAACCAUGGGACAUCCCCCGCUGGAGUUCAGCGACUGCUACCUAGACAGCCCCGAUUUCCGCGAGAGGCUCAAGUGUUACGAACAGGAGCUGGAGAGGACCAAUAAAUUCAUCAAAGACGUGAUCAAAGACGGCAAUGCGCUUAUCAGCGCUAUGAGAAAUUAUUCCUCUGCAGUCCAGAAAUUUUCCCAGACACUACAGUCAUUUCAGUUUGAUUUCAUCGGAGACACUCUAACUGAUGAUGAGAUUAAUAUUGCUGAAUCAUUCAAGGAAUUUGCUGAAUUGCUCAACGAAGUAGAAAAUGAGAGGAUGAUGAUGGUACAAAAUGCUAGUGACUUGCUAAUUAAACCCCUGGAAAAUUUUCGGAAGGAGCAAAUAGGCUUCACAAAGGAGCGAAAAAAGAAAUUUGAAAAGGAUGGUGAGAGGUUUUACUCGUUAUUGGACCGGCACUUACAUCUAUCAUCCAAAAAGAAAGAAUCUCAGUUGCAAGAGGCUGACCUCCAAGUUGACAAGGAAAGGCACAACUUUUUUGAGUCCUCCCUUGAUUACGUUUAUCAAAUCCAGGAAGUUCAGGAGUUCAAGAAAUUCAAUAUUGUGGAGCCAGUCUUGGCCUUUCUUCAUAGUCUCUUCAUUUCUAACAGCCUGACUGUGGAACUCACACAGGAUUUCCUCCCAUAUAAGCAACAACUCCAGCUCAGUUUGCAGAAUACAAGAAAUCAUUUCUCCAGUACCCGGGAAGAGAUGGAAGAACUUAAGAAAAGGAUGAAAGAAGCUCCUCAGACAUGCAAACUUCCAGGACAGCCAACCAUUGAAGGCUAUCUCUAUACGCAGGAGAAAUGGGCUUUAGGGAUAUCCUGGGUGAAAUACUACUGCCAGUAUGAGAAAGAGACCAAGACACUUACCAUGACACCUAUGGAACAGAAGCCAGGUGCUAAGCAGGGACCCCUGGACUUGACCCUGAAGUACUGUGUGAGAAGGAAGACAGAGUCUAUCGACAAGAGAUUCUGUUUUGAUAUAGAAACUAAUGAAAGGCCAGGGACCAUCACUUUGCAGGCCCUUUCAGAAGCCAAUAGACGGCUAUGGAUGGAAGCCAUGGAUGGGAAAGAACCUAUCUACCACAGCCCUAUAACAAAACAGGAAGAAAUGGAACUGAAUGAAGUGGGCUUCAAGUUUGUAAGGAAGUGCAUCAAUGUCAUUGAGACCAAAGGGAUCAAGACUGAAGGGUUGUACCGCACAGUGGGCAGCAAUAUUCAGGUUCAGAAGCUGCUGAAUGCCUUUUUUGAUCCCAAGUGCCCAGGAGAUGUUGAUUUUCAUAACAGUGAUUGGGACAUUAAGACAAUCACCAGCUCAUUGAAAUUCUACCUCAGGAAUCUUUCUGAACCUGUUAUGACCUAUAAGCUUCACAAAGAGCUAGUCUCUGCUGCCAAAUCUGACAACCUGGAUUACCGCCUGGGAGCUAUUCACUCCCUCAUAUAUAAGCUACCAGAAAAAAACUGGGAGAUGCUAGAGCUUCUGAUAAGACACUUGGUCAAUGUAUGUGAGCACAGCAAAGAGAAUCUUAUGACCCCUUCCAACAUGGGGGUGAUAUUUGGGCCCACCCUGAUGAGAGCUCAAGAAGACACUGUGGCUGCUAUGAUGAACAUCAAAUUCCAGAAUAUUGUGGUAGAAAUCCUGAUUGAACAUUUUGGCAAGAUAUAUUUAGGUCCACCUGAGGAGAAUAUUGCACCCCCAGUGCCUCCACCUCGAGUGACAGCAAGAAGGCACAAACCAAUCACAAUAUCAAAGCGCUUGCUGCGAGAAAGGACCGUUUUCUAUACGUCUCCCCUGGAUGAAAGUGAAGAUGAAAUCCAGCAACAAACUCCUAAUGGUACUAUAACUAACACCCUCGAACUCCCCAAGCUGCCACAGAACCUCAAACUACCCACACAGAGGAGUGGGGAAGCUGAUCUUGGGAGGAAGUCGCUAAGCAAACCUGUUUCUGACUGUAAAUCAGAACCCUCCCCUGAGGUGGAUGUGGGGAAGUUGGUGUCUAGGCUACAGGAUGGAGGGAUUAAGGGCACCCCAAAGUCUACCAAUGGACCUGUGCCAGGUUCUGGGCCCACAAAGGCCCCUUCUUUCCACAUAAAGAGACCAGCUCCCCGGCCCCUGGUUCAACACAAGGAAGGUGAUGCUGACAGUUUUAGCAAAGUACGACCUCCAGGAGAAAAACAAGUAAUUAUCCGUCCCCCUGUGAGACCACCAGACCCUCCCUGCCGAGCUUUUACUCCACAGAAGCCAGAACCCAAGCCAGAUUUGGCUGGCAAUGCAGGGGAUAUCCCAUCGUCUGUGGUGGCUUCCAGGACCAGGUUCUUUGAAACAGCUUCCCGGAAAACUGGAAGUUCUCAAGGAAGACUUCCUGGAGAUGAAAGUUGAGUGGACAGUGCAAAGGACUCUCAUAUCCAUUAUCACUUGAUCCACAUCACAUGCCAGAGGUUUUAAAAAGGAGUUGGCCUUGGGGGAUCUUUCUAGAUUGCGAAAGGGUCUACUUCAAACCCUGUGUGCUGAGUCAUUUUGGACUGAUGAUCAGCAGCUCCUUCCUGGUCCUGCACCUUCAGGCUCCGGGAAGCCGUAAAAUAAAGGGGCACGUGUCCCAGAUACA